UAAUUUAACGUACAAAACAGCAAAUAAAUGAUGAUAUUCCCAACCAUUUCCCACCCUAACAAUUGUUUCUGAUCCCACCCCCUAAAUUCCCACCCUCUAAUCAAUUUCCCACCCCCGCAAUCAAUUGCUCACACCCACCCUCCUCCCCCCCCCCCCGCUCCCUCCCACCAAUAGUUCCCUCCCUCUGCAGAAAACCUCCCAGCCCCCCAAUUCCCACCCCAACAAUUCCUUCCUCCAAAUUCCAACAACUUGGGAGUGUAACGUGAUCAGAGUACAAUUUCUCCCCCAGAAUUGCCACCCCACAGAAUUCCCUCCCCCCAUCUUCAAUGCCAGCAGUUAC
rnacentral:lncRNA from 7 species